CUACGUGCCAGCAGCCGCGGUAAUACGGAAGGUCCGGGCGUUAUCCGGAUUUAUUGGGUUUAAAGGGAGCGUAGGCCGGAGAUUAGGUGUGUUGUGAAAUGUAGACGCUCAACGUCUGACUUGCAGCGCAUACUGGUUUCCUUGAGUACGCACAACGUUGGCGGAAUUCGUCGUGUAGCGGUGAAAUGCUUAGAUAUGACGAAGAACUCCGAUUGCGAAGGCAGCUGACGGGAGCGCAACUGACGCUUAAGCUCGAAGGUGCGGGUAUCGAACAGGAUUAGAUACCCUGGUAGUCCGCACAGUAAACGAUGGAUGCCCGCUGUUGGUACUUGGUAUCAGCGGCUAAGCGAAAGCAUUAAGCAUCCCACCUGGGGAGUACGCCGGCAACGGUGAAACUCAAAGGAAUUGACGGGGGCCCGCACAAGCGGAGGAACAUGUGGUUUAAUUCGAUGAUACGCGAGGAACCUUACCCGGGCUUGAA
rnacentral:rRNA from 1 species